AAUUUUCUACAUCUUUCUUUCCUUCUUUUUCUUUCUUUUCUUUCUUGUUCUCAUUUCCUUCUCAUUCGGCCAAACACUUCAAACCCUUAGAGAAAUUUUCUAGCGACCAUUCUAGCGAAUCAAAGCAUCCAUUCUCCUCCUCUCGAUCCUCUUGAGCGCGGAGGUGAGGCGGUAGCUCGAGGCAAAGAAUUAGCCAAGGGAUUAGCUUGCGAGGAAGAGGAAUCGUCAACUUGUGAUUGGGACUAUUAACCCUUUGCAGGUAGUUGGUGCGGUGGUGUGGCAAUGUGCUAAGCAUUUACUACUGUUUAAUCUUCUGUGUAUUUUUUCAGUUCAUGUAUGUUUAUUUUUGGUCAUGGACAGGUUGUUUGACUUAUGGAUCCACUAGGGGUAGUAAAUCUUGUUGCAUAGUUUUGUAUAUAAACAACUCUUAAACCCUUGGUGUAU